CCUACGGGCGGCAGCAGUGGGGAAUAUUGGUCAAUGGCCGAAAGGCUGAACCAGCCAUGCCGCGUGAAGGUCAGUGCCCUAUGGGCGUUAAACUUCUUUUGUGCGGGAGCAAUAAUGGUCACGUGUGGCCAGACGAGCGUACCGUACGCAUACGCAUCGGCUAACUCCGUGCCAGCAGCCGCGGUAAUACGGGGGAUGCAAGCGUUAUCCGGAUUUAAUGGGUUUAAAGGGGGCGUAGGCUGUGAGGUAAGUCAGCAGUGAAAUGCCCCCGCGCAACGGGGUGAAGUGCCAUUGAUACUGCCUUGCUGGAAUGCGGAUGCCGUGGGAGGAAUGGGUGGUGUAGCGGUGAAAUGCAUAGAUAUCACACAGAACACCGAUUGCGAAGGCAGCUCGCGAAUCCGCGAUUGACGCUGAUGCACGAAAGCGUGGGGAGCAAACAGGAUUAGAUACCCGAGUAGUC
rnacentral:rRNA from 1 species